GACGAACGCUGGCGGCAUGCCUAAUACAUGCAAGUCGAGCGAACAGAUGAAGUGCUUGCACUUCUGACGUUAGCGGCGAACGGGUGAGUAACACGUAAGGAAUCUACCUAUAAGCGGGGGAUAACAUUCGGAAACGGGUGCUAAUACCGCAUAAUAUCUUCUUCCGCAUGGAAGAAGAUUGAAAGACGGCUCUGCUGUCACUUAUAGAUGACCUUGCGGUGCAUUAGUUAGUUGGUGGGGUAACGGCCUACCAAGACGAUGAUGCAUAGCCGCACUGAGAGGGUGAUCGGCCAAAUUGGGACUGAGACACGGCCCAAACUCCUACGGGAGGCAGAAGUAGGGAAUCUUCCGCAAUGGGCGAAAGCCUGACGGAGCAAUGCCGCGUGAGUGAAGAAGGCCUUCGGGUCGUAAAACUCUGUUAUAAGAGAAGAACAAAUUGUAGAGUAACUGCUACAGUCUUGACGGUAUCUUAUCAGAAAGCCACGGCUAACUACGUGCCAGCAGCCGCCGUAA
rnacentral:rRNA from 1 species